GUGGAUGGAUGGAUUUUAGGAAAAAAUAUUUUAACAUGGGAAUGUGGAGAAUAUUUUCUAAGGUGGAUGAUAAGGAAAACACAACACACACACACACACACACACACAAUGAUUUGAUGAUGCUGCAUCUUCACAAGUCCCUGAGAACUGAAUUCUAUCUCUGUAAAAGUAAGAAGGUCUGGAUUUUCUCACUGAAAACUGAUGACGUGAUAAAAGACUGCAUGUUUCUCAUAGAGUUCCUCACCUCUCCCCUCUCUCAUUGCUCAUUUGAUAAUAAAAAUGCCUGUCUGAGAGGGGCCACUCCCAGCAGUGGGUUGAGAGUCCCUGUGAUCUCUGAGCAUCCCAACCCUCAGGGAGGGGAGGGUGUCUGCAGGUGAGGCCAGGAAAUCCCCAGGCAUGUGCUGGCGCUCCAGAUGGGCCAGUCUCCCCUGCUGGAAUCGGCCUGUCUCCCUGGCCUUUUCCUACUCUCAGGGUUGCCUUUCACCCCUGAUGCCCUCUGCCAGUUUUAAAGUCUCUCUUCCCUCAGCUGCCUGGAAAGGAGAACUGGACUCCAGAGGAAGUGUUCUCAGAUGCUGAGGAGUAUGUGGUCUGAUUGCAUUUCUUAAAGAGAAACCUGGAGCCAAGGAAUAGCAGAGGGGAGGCAUUCUCCCUCCCACCUCCUUCUCGGGCUUAACAAGGGGAAAAAUCAGGAACUUUUCUUAAAGUACUUGAGUAGAGGAAUCCUUCAGUCUAUCUGGAUUUCCAUGGAUUUCACAAAGAGAGACGCUGGGCUCAGGGACGGGCUUCAAAACAGGACCCAGAAAGCAGGAGGCCCAGUUUCCACGCCUACUACCUGGCAGUGGCUGUGAGCGAGGCAUCUGCCUGCCUCCAUUUCACCUUAAAUUUUUUCAGGCAGUUGGGAUAUGCGUGACUGAUCCAAAUCGCUGACAAAGGGAGCUGAGCCAUUUCCAGUGUGGAUACAGCUUUAUGGCGGGAGAAGAAUAACAAGAAAAUAAGUAAGAAGCAAUUGUAGCCAAAAUGAAAAAUGAAGAGAUCCUUUCUCCAGCCAAUGCCAGCUGUAAUACUAGAAGACAGAUAUUAAAGGUAUACUGAAUAAAUGUUUUUCUUUUGUACCUUAGCUCUCCUGUUACUGAGUGCAUUGUUCUUACUGCUUAAUGGACCAUUUCAGGUAAAGAACUGAAUAUUCAUAAGAAAUAAAGAGUGAUUAGCCCUUCCUUUGCAUACAGUGAGCAGCAGGUCCAGUAAGCAGAUGCUGGCUACAUAGUAGGCAUUCAAUUAAAAUGUAGUACAUUCAAUCAAUGAAGUGUCAAAUAACCGAGUAAUGGGAUCUCGGUUCCUCAAACUCAGAUGCCGCAUGGUCAGAGCACCCAUCUAGCUAAGCCACCAUAGCUGUGGGGAAAGUAGUUAGUACAUGUCUUUAAAUUUGCCUGAGAAAAACUGCCAUGGAAGGGGCACAAAGCCAAGUGGUCCAGCCUAAGAAUCCUAAAGCACAUUCCCCAUGAGACUGUGUGGUCCACAAAACACACGAGACCCAGAGAUGAGCCAGAGUAAUCUUUGAGACCAAGUUAGCACUUUCAAAGACACAAAUUGGUUCUUGGUGGAAACAAACAAAUAAACAAGUACUAAGUAGAGUGACUUGAUUAUUCAGCCUCACUGGAAAACGGAAUAUGCAUCCUGGUUAAAUUUU
rnacentral:lncRNA from 10 species